rnacentral:rRNA from 1 species
CCUACGGGAGGCUGCAGUCGCGAAUUUUUCACAAUGGGCGCAAGCCUGAUGAAGCCACGCCGUGUGCGGGAUGAAGGUCUCUGAGUUGUAAACCGCUGUCAAGUGGAGGGCUGCCGCUAAAGGAAGCCCCGGCAAAACAUGUGCCAGCAGCCGCGGUAAUACAUGUGGGGCAAGCGUUGUUCGGAAUUACUGUGCAUAAAGGGUGCGUAGGUGGCUUGUUAAGUCAGGGGUGAAAUCCCACGGCCCAACCGUGGAACUGCCUUUGAUACUGGCGAGCUUGAGUGCGUGAGGGGUAACCGGAACGAGUAGUGUAGCGGUGAAAUGCGUAGAUAUUACUCGGAAGGCCAAAGGCGAAGGCAGGUUACUGGUACGCACUGACACUGAGGCACGAAAGCGUGGGGAGCAAACAGGAUUAGAUACCCUUGUAGUC